rnacentral:ncRNA from 1 species
GAGAGCCAAAUGAAUCAAAAGGUUCAUGUUUGGUUCGGGAAGGGAUCAUGGAAUUUUUGAAAUAAAAUGAAUGAAAAGUAGAUGCAAAAACCACAUGCCCCAGAAAAGUUACUUCUUUUAAUCAAAAUUUAUAUUUGCUCAACUUAGC